CAUUUCAGCACCAUUUAAGGUAAAUGAGGAGGGAAUCAUCAUCAGCCAAUCGGGCUCAAAGGCCAUUUCCCAAUGUCACUUCCUGUCUCUCUACUUUCUCUCCAUUUUGGUGGUGGGCUGGUUGAAGAUGGAAUCCACUGAGGAAGGAAGGCCUAGGUCUUUGGCACUGUGUGUCAGCCCAGAAGCUGGGAAAGACCCCUAAAAAUCAAGAGGGCUUGGAUUUGGACAUUCUCAAUAGGAAUGGUUAAAGGCUAAUGGGACCAGAAAGGCAAGUACUUAAACUUUGACCAAGAUAUGCCUUAAAUUAUUCUGUUUCACAUGUACAUAUGUGUUUUCUAUCUAAAAAAGAUAGGAGGUUCUUUGAGUUGCCAUUGUAUUCCAUAUUGUGGGAUACACAGUAGACAAUGAGUAAAUUGGAAUGGAACUGAGUAAAAGGGAGUGAUAAUAGAAUCUUGAAGUGGAAGCAUCAGCUGAUUUAGUAUUUUCAGUUUGUGGUUUGUAUCAGGCCUUUAUGAAGCACCUGUUCACAUAUAAAAUGUACAUUUUGGCCAUGAGACUCCAGUCCUUUGAAGAACUUAUGGCUACAAGGAACAAAAUGUUUGAGUCAUUGAUUGUUUAUAGGCUAUUUACACAAUGUUUACUUUAGUUCCUUAAAUAACUCAGUAAAUAUGCAGUGGCCUUUAUGUGGUAGAGUGACUGGAAGCAUGACUAGAAUCCUGUAGGGAGCAUCGCACAUUGGGAAAGGCAUCAUAUAUAUGUAUAUAUUUGUCUUUUUAGGGCUGCACCUGUGGCAUGUGGAGGUUUCCAGGCUAGGGGUCAAAUCAGAGCUGUAACUGCCAGGCUACUGCACAGCCACAGAAAUGCCAAAUCCUUGACAGUGAGCAAGGCCAAGGAUUGAACCCUAGUCCUAGUCCUCAUGGGUGCUAGUCAGGUUUGUUAACCCCUGAGCCACACCAUAGGAACUCCAUGGUAUCAUAUAUUAAUAGGAUUUAUGUGCUAGGCUUUGUGCUGCACAGCAAGGACACAAAGACCAGGCCCUUUGCAGUCUGGGUUUUGUUUGUGAGAUGAGACAGAUAGAGAAUUUAUACUUUUCAAUCUGUAAUUAUUUUCCCAUAAGAAGUACUUGGACAUGGAGUUUUGAGGUAUACUGUGUUAAAAUACUCACAAUAGAAAUGGUGAAAUCUCACAGCCUUGCUUCCUAUGUUACAUUAGUUAAUCUCACAUGUUGCUGAUCUCCAAAACAUUUUGCAUAAUUAAAGUGUUACUCAAGUAUAGGACAAGAAAGAGUAAAAUAACACUUUGAUUAUAUCUCCAAGGUACUUAAACCACCUGUUUCUUUCUGACCUACUGAGCCAGGAUGCCAUUUUUACUAUGUUCUAAAGCAGACCAUCUCUUACAGCUCUGCUUAUUUCAUGUAAGAACUGGCAUAGUGAAGUGAAAAUACAGAGUUUUGACAAAGUUGGGUUGAAAUCAUAGGUCUUAAUAGCUAGGUGGCCUUAAGAAAUUUUACCUCUCUGAACCUCAAAUUUUGAAAUAUGGGGUAGUUGUAAAGUUACAGUAAGACGAUUUCAGUAGUUCUUGACAGAUUGUAGGAAUUUUUAAGAAUGAUAGCUACUACUUCCUGUCAGCUUAUUUUAGUCAUACCCACCCUUCAGGCAGUGGUAUCCAAGAGAACUUUCUGUGAUAAUGGAAAUGCUCUAUAUUUGUACUAUUUGGUUUGGUAGUCGUCAGCCACAUGAGGCAAUUGAGCAAUUAAAAUGUGGCUGAGGAAUUUAAUUUUAAAUUUAGGCUGUAGGUGGUGUUACCUAUUGGGCAGUGCAAUUUUUUACUCCCCCCCCUCCCUUUUUAGGACUGCACCUGUGGCAUAUGGAAGUUCCCAGGCUAGGGGUUGAAUCAGAACUGCAGCCUGCUGGCCUAUGCUAUUGUUACAGCAAUGCCAGAUCUGACCACAUCUGCAACCUACACCAUAGCUCACAGCAACACUAGAUCCUUAAUCCUCUAAGCAAGGCCAGGGAUCGAACCUGGAUCCUCAUGGAUACUAGUUGGGUUUUUAACCUGCUGAGCCACAAUGGGAACUCCCAGUUUUUCUUUUUGAGAUAUAAUUGAUGGAUAACAUUAUAUUCGUUUCAGUGUACAACAUAACUAUUUAGUACUUACAUAUACUGUGAAGCGAUUACCAAAAUAAGUCUAGUUAGGAUGCAUCACCACACCUUGGUACAAAUUAAGUACAAUUUUAAGGCUUAUUCAAGACCUAUAUUUUUCCUUCAUGAAGCCUUCUUUGACCAAUGGUUCUUUUUAACAUUAGUUGGCUCUCUCUACCACUUAUUUGAGACAUGGACAUUAAUUUACAUGACUCUUGUCUUUGAUUGUAUUUAAAGUUACGGAUUUUUAAAUUUCCCCAUUGCUGCAUGGAAAGGAACAUGACAGGAGUUGCCUCGUGACUCAGUGAUUAAAGACCCAGCAUUGUCACUGCUGUGGCUCUGGUUACAAACUGGCAUGGAUUCCAUCCCUGACCCAGAGAACUUCUGCAUGCCAUAGGCGUGUCAUUUCCCCCACCCCCACUGUAGGAGAAAAUGUCCCUAUAAAAAGGUAGAAAGGAGAGAUCCCAGCCAUGAUGACUAAGCAAAGUCCAGCCAACUGCCCCUAACCACCCCUGCCCCACGCAUCUGCUUCUGUAAGCUUGCUUCCACAUCUGCUACCUUGCCUGACCUCACUCUGGUCCGACCAGCCAAGCAUGGACCCCGGAAGAGGUAGCCCAUAAAAGCCUUGUGAAACCCUUCUUGGGGGCUCAGACUCCAGAGAGCAAUCUCCUCUGAGCCCGCCCAUGUGAUAAACCUGAGUUCUCCAACUCUCCCAAGUGCUCGCUCGGUUUCUUGCCAGGUAAAAGAGCUGAAACACUGUAGCCACAGGGCUGUCACUAGAGCCGAUAGCCUUCGGCACAGGGCUGCUGGGAAGCUGCGGUUAAUACCACCACAUAAAAAGGAAGAGGAUAAAAUACAGUUGUAGUUAAUAAGCUUUAAAUGAUCAUUAAAUGUAAUAGAAAAAAGUGUUCUAGUUAGUAAUUAGGUAGAGAAUAGGGAAUAGUAUGAAGGUUGCCUGCAGUGAUGAACUUUGUAUCUACUGUUUCACUUGAAAGUUCAGAUCACAUUCAAACGCUGCAAGAAGAAAUUAAAGGCUUUUUUUAAAAAAUAUGUAUACUGCCAUCUUGUGGCCAUUUGGGCUCCAAAUGAUGCUAAUUCAAUUUUGCUGUGUCAAAGGAAGGUUUUCUUCAGUUUAUUGUGAUAAAAUUUUAUCAAAAGUAGAGAUUAAAUACAGUUGAAAUAGGCUCAAAUGAAACUGAAACAUACUUUUUUAAAAAAAAGCUGAUUUAAAUUACCUUCUCAUUUAUCUGAAUCUUAUGUGUUCUUAUCUCCUUCCUUCCCCUCUUUUUUUUUUUUAAAGGAUUCUGUGGGAGUUCCCUGGUGGCUUAGUGGUUAAGGACUUGGCAUUGUCCCUGCUGUGGGUUGAGUUUGAACUUCCACAUGCCAUUGUGUGCCCCCCCCAAAAAGGAUUUUGUGAUUUUAAUGAUUGUAGUUAGGAGUGUUUUCUGCAACCACAUACAUACCUUGUGAACUGGAUGUAACCCAUGCCAUUUAUGCUUUAUCUUGAAUUUGUUCCCAUGGCUGCCAAGCUGUGGUUGCAGCCAGCACAUGGCGCUUUCCUUUUGCAUACCCAUUCUCUUGUUAGAUUGUUGACUUUUAUAACUUUUCUGAGGUUGGUUGUACUGGUACCGUUUUACCCAAACUUCUAAAUUUAUACAAAAAGCAGAGUUUAUACAGAAGUCCCUCCCUAGUCUGAUACUGAGUUGGGCAUUUGAUGAUAAAAUGGGUCAAUUUAUAUGACUGAAUGAAGAUGCAAAUAAAGAAUGAAUAGUUUUCUUUGAGGUUAGUUUUCCUUGAGGCUACAGGAGUAGGCUGAUGUGUAUUCAAGUUUUGUAGUCAUAACCUUUGUAUAUUUUUUAUUUACUAAUUGUUUAUUUUUCAGAGAUGAUGCCAGAUAGUUGAUAGUUUAACUUGAUUCCUACAUAGGCGCUGGAUUCCACCUGCUAUCUGAAGUGAGUAUAAAAGAAAACUUCAUUUGGAUUUCUAAUCACCUUGCAAGUUUGGGGGCUCAAUUUUCUUAGUGGCUGAAAUUUGGUAGUUGAAGAAGCCUUAGUUCUAACAUUAAGAGAAUUUCCUUUAUUUAGGGAUGAUGCUCUGGUGGUUUGUCCUUCACCAGUCAGUCAUUUGCAGUUUGCCAGAGUGAAAGAAAGGCCUGUUAAGUCCAUAUUUUGGCUGAUCACCCUGAUUCAACAUAUGCUCUAUGCAGACUGAAGAAAUGGAAUUUCAAGAGACUGAAGCUAGAUCAGAGUCUGACUUCUUUCCUAGCCUGGAACACUUGGGUGCUCUAAGUCCUGGAUAUAUAGUGGUUUUUCUGUUAUGAUAAGGCUUAUGUUGAAAUUGAGAAGCUCUGACAUACGUAUGAAUCUGAAAACUCAGCUUGGUGACUUCAUGGCUAGCCACUAAGAUUAAGGGUAAAUGAUUCUUCAGAUUAAAGAUGGACACUGACUUCUCACCAGAAAUGGUUUAUAGAAUCAACUUGCAAAAUUGUAAAGAGGCAGCAAAAGAAAGAGUGAAAUAUUUUCUUACCCCACGAAAGCAGGAUAACUUGCUUAUCCCCAAACACUGGCCCAGAAUAGAUACUCAAAAAAUAAAAAUAAAAAAUUGAAGUUAAUUGAAAUUUCCAUAGUUGUUUUGUUUUCAUGUUUUGUUUUUAAUCCCUGGAAAACGGCAGCCAUUUUAAUGGCAUUUCUGCAAGAAAUUUACAUGGAAUAACUGGGAUUUAAAUUUUGAUUCUGAUAAAUAAACUAUCUGGAUACCAAUAGCUGAUUAUGAUGCUGAUCCUUUAAGAGGCAAUGGCAGCUGGUUGCCAAAGCGAAUUGUGAGUCUUUUCAGCAUCUGGAGACCUCAUUGACUGUUAUGUCUUUGUGUGAAGACAUGCUGCUUUGUAAUUAUCGCAAGUGUCGCAUCAAACUCUCAGGCUAUGCAUGGGUCACUGCCUGCUCUCACAUAUUCUGCGAUCAGCAUGGCAGUGGUGAGUUUAGCCGUUCACCAGCUAUCUGCCCUGCUUGCAACAGUACUCUUUCUGGGAAGCUAGAUAUUGUCCGCACAGAACUCAGUCCAUCAGAGGAGUAUAAAGCCAUGGUAUUGGCAGGACUUCGACCAGAGAUUGUGUUGGACAUUAGCUCCCGAGCACUGGCAUUCUGGACGUAUCAGGUACACCAGGAGCGUCUCUAUCAAGAAUACAAUUUCAGCAAGGCUGAGGGGCAUCUGAAACAGAUGGAGAAGAUAUAUACUCAGCAAAUACAGAGCAAAGAUGUAGAAUUGACCUCUAUGAAAGGGGAGGUCACCUCCAUGAAGAAAGUGCUAGAAGAAUACAAGAAAAAGUUCAGUGACAUCUCCGAGAAACUUAUGGAGCGAAAUCGCCAGUAUCAAAAGCUCCAAGGCCUCUAUGAUAGCCUUAGGCUACGAAAUAUCACUAUUGCUAACCAAGAUGGUACCCUUGAACCAUCCAUGAUUGCACAGUCUGGUGUUUUUGGCUUCCCUUUAGGGAACAACUCCAAGUUUCCUUUGGACAGUACACCAAUUCGAAAUCGGGGUGGUGGAGAUGGAGAUUUUCAGUUCAAACCAUUUUUUGUGAGUUCUCCCACAGCACCUGAACCCAGCAACAGCUUUUUUAAUUUUCCCUCCCCAAGUCAUGAAUUAGAGCAGCAGCAAGUCUCUAGCAGGGCCUUUAAAGUAAAAAGAAUUUAGCUCACUUUAUAGAAUGUUCCUUCAGCAGUUUUAUUUAGCAAAUAAUCUUUAUUUCAGAUAGGAGGCACCAACCUCCCUGUGCUUGCUAUUGAGUCUUCAAAGUUGUCCUCCCGUUUUCAAUUUACAAGAAACUCAGUGGCAGUGGAGGGAGAGUCUCAUUUCUUUUUCUGUUUCUAUUUAAGGCAUGAGCAUUUUAUUUAUCUCAAUUUUAUUGUCACCUUCUAUUUCACUGGUAGUAAAAAGCUUACAAUAUUAUUGGGUGUUUUGUAGAUCACCAUUUGUUUCUGUCUGGGUUAUUUUUGACUGAACCAUGUGUUUAAGCAUGUGUAUAUAAGCACCUAUGUUAUAUGUAUACAUGUCACUUUGGGUUGUGGUAUUUAUACAUAUAUGUGUGUGUAUAUAUAUAUAUAUAUUCCUUCACAUUGAUAUUUUGCUGUAUUUGACAGUAUGUUUAUGUGAAGAUUUUGGUUUCAGGAAAUGGUGAGUGAUCCUGUAUCUUGUUAUUUGAGUGUGUACAUUUAUUUGUGUAUGUUUAAUGUGUUUGCCCUUGUAUUAGCUUGUUUGGAGAAGUGCUCAUGUCACUGAAUGAGGGUACAAUUUGAUGCAUGUAUGUUUAGUUUCUAUUUCUAUUUAAAAAUAAUUUACAUUGAUAAAGUUAUUUUGUAAAGUUGAUUUUUUUGGCCUUUAUUUUAAAAUAAAAUUACUUCUUUCUUUACCCUUUUGCCCUGGGUCUGCUUAUUUAGGAAUGUAUUUCUACUGUGAAAAACUUACCAAUAUGUACAUUUUUUUAUUUUUUAAAUUAUAGUUGGUUUACAAUGUUGUGCCAAUUACUAAUAUAUUAUUUAUCUCUAGAGAUUAUAUUAAUUAAAAUACUUUAAAGAUUUAUUACUUGUUUUUCUUUAUUAAAUAGUGAUCAUUUCUGACUACUAUCACAGAAGACUUAUUUAAACUGUUGAGCUAUGAGAGAAAUUUGAAGGACACUUUCAGUAACUUUACAUCCUAUUAGAGGCAAGAUUUGAAAACAUACUGGUUGCGGAGGCAGAACAUCCAAGUUUUAGUUAUCUUUUUUUCCAUAUAUUAGUUGUGGAUGUUUGAGUUUAAACUUUCUGGGCUUUUGUUUCUGCAUCUGUAGAAUGAGGGAUUGAAUUUUAAAAAAUUGCCCUGACGGACAUACAAUUUUUGAAGUCAUGAGCCCUGGCUGUGUCCCCCUUUGCCUGGCAAAGGAAUAAAGCUAUUCUUUUCCCCUUAAAAAAAAAAAUUACCCUAAAUGCCAAAUUCCAUUGUUUUUUAGGUAAUAAAGUCAAACUAAAAUCAUUUGAGGAUAUUUUAUAUUUAGUCAUUGCAGAAAAGCAAGUGGAUAUUUUUGCUUUAUAUAAUUUACUAGCAAGCAAGUAAUAUUUUCUUUAGGAGUAUGGAAUAUAAA